UACGGAGGGGGCUAGCGUUGUUCGGAUUCAUUGGGCGUAAAGGGUGCGUAGGUGGCGUGGUAAGUCGGGUGUGAAAUUUCGGAGCUUAACUCCGAAACUGCAUUCGAUACUGCCGUGCUUGAGGACUGGAGAGGAGACUGGAAUUUACGGUGUAGCAGUGAAAUGCGUAGAGAUCGUAAGGAAGACCAGUGGCGAAGGCGGGUCUCUGGACAGUUCCUGACACUGAGGCACGAAGGCCAGGGGAGCAAACGGG
rnacentral:rRNA from 1 species